AUGGUGGUAUAUGGGGAUGUUGUGGUAUGUGAGGAUAUGGUGGGAUGUGAGGACUCAGUGGUAUAUGGGGACGGGAUGGUAUUAACAUCCUUCUCAAAACCAAAGUCCAGAGGCCAGGUCACAGUGACUCAGCCUGGAGCAGUGAGCUCUGCUCUGGGAGGCUCCGUCUCCAUCAGCUGUAGGACCAGUCAGGAUGUUUAUAAUUCUGACUUUUUAGCCUGGUACCAACAGAGAGAUGGAGAAACUCCUAAACUGCUCAUUUACCGUGCUACUGAGCAAGAAUCAGGGAUUCCAGAUCGUUUUACAGGCAGUGGAUCAGACUCUGACUUCACUCUGACCAUCAGUGGAGUCCAGACUGAAGAUGCAGCAGUUUACUACUGUCAGAGUUAUCAUGAAAUCAACAGUCAGGAUGUGUUCACACAGUGA